rnacentral:misc_RNA from 1 species
AGCAGCCGCGGUAAUUCCAGCUCCAAUAGCGUAUAUUAAAGUUGUUGCAGUUAAAAGCUCGUAGUUGAAUUUCGGGGUUAGUAGGUUGGUCAUGCCUCUGGUAUGUACUGGUCUCACUGAUUCCUCCUUCCUGAUGAGCCGUAAUGCCAUUAAUUUGGUGUUGCGGGGAAUUUGGACUGUUACUUUGAAAAAUUAGAGUGUUUAAAGCAAGCUAACGCUUGAAUACAUUAGCAUGGAAUAAUGAAAUAGGACGUUCGAUCCUAUUUUGUUGGUUUCUAGGAUUGACGUAAUGAUUAAUAGGGAUAUUGGGGGCAUUAGUAUUCAAUUGUCAGAGGUGAAAAUUCUUGGAUUUAUUGAAGACUAACUACUGCGAAAGCAUUUGCCAAGGAUGUUUUCAUUAAUCAAGAACGAAAGUUAGGGAUCGAAGACGAUCAGAUACCGUCGUAGUCUUAACCAUAAACUAUGCCGACUAGGGAUCGGAUGAUGUUAAUUUUUUAAUGACUCAUUCGGCGUCCCG